UAAAAAAAUAAAAAAAAGACCCAAAAAAUGCACUGAAAGAAAAGUGAGUAAACAUUAAGUGUUCUCAUUAUACAUACAGACAGAGAGAGGUGAUUACGUGUGCAAUGUGUUAACCAGCCUCUUACACCAACAAUUCAGCAAUACAGAGCUGUAUCAAAUCAUCAAGCUGUUCACUUUAAAUUUACGCAUAUUAUACGUGGAUUAGAUCUUAAUACAUCUGGAAAAAUACUUCUUCGUGAGAUGUACUUGUCCUAGUUUUAAAAAUACUCCUGCAGCACAUAAAAUUUGUUUGCAGUAUUUUUAGAGCAGAUGUUAUUAAAGAGUCUGCAUUCAGCAGCAGUGCCAGAAAACGGCAAACAAGAAAGAAAAAGUCUACUUUCUGUGGCUGUUAGAGGCCAGCACGAUCAACAAGCAUAAGGUAAAAACGCCCUAGUGCAUUUGAAAAUAACUUGUGUGGCUGGCGCUACAGCAAAUGCUGCUGCCAAAGACUGUGAGUCUCUUUCCUUGACCUGGUCUGAAGUGUAUGGGAAAGAUUCUCUAAAAUAACACCGCGAAAGAAGGUGAAGAAUGAACAGAUUUUUAAUGUUCAAAAAAAGAUGGUGGAGGGCUUAUUCCAGACAAAGAAACAGCUUCGCCACUGCCAGCAAACACUAGAGAGCCUGAGAGUCCAGAGGACAGGCUCUUGCUCUCCCAUCACAGAUUUUAAGUGACGUUCUCAGAGGUGGAAGUAAAACAAGAUGCUUCACUUCUGUUGUGAAUUUCCACGGCAGGGAGUUGCAUCUGAGAGAACCGUGACUGUCGCCGUUGCUCUGCAGCUCAGCUGCAUGGGAAUCACCUCGAUGCUUCUGAAGAUGCAGGUGCUGGCCCCACACCCAGCUCGGAGUUGCUCUUGGUAAAGUGAAAAUGACCAUUCACCGAGUGCAUUUGUCAACCCAGCUGCAUUUGAGGGUUGCUUUUUUCCUCACAGAAAUGGGCUGCUUUCUUUCAACAAGCCCCUUCUCAGCUCCCACCCUAGGUUCUUGGACAAGCAGACGGACCAGGUAGGAUGCAGCUGCAGCGGGCACUCUCCCAGGCCCUCGGCGGGGCCGCCCCCUCCCUCCGCGCUUCCCCAGCCCUCUCCACCCUGCACAGCGCGAACCUCGCGGUUUCACGCCCCUGGUUUUCUGGCUCUUCCACUGGCUUCGGGACACUUCAGGGCAGAGUCGAUGCUUCAUGCUGUCUGUGUUCCCCGUGCUGCUCCACUGCCACAGACUCACUCCUGGCAGGUGUGACGCGUUCAGCGACGUGGCUGAAGAAUCGCAGGAAUGAACGCGGUUUCAAUAACAGAGAUGCUGUUCGCCUGAUGAUCCUGAACCUAGGAAAUAAACGAAGGUGGGAAUGAAUGAAUACGCCAGUGAAUAAGAUUAUCAUUUAAAUGUAAAACCUAAAGGGAAUGACAGCAUGGUGAUCAGUGUGAUUCAGCGAUUAUAACCCUGCGCUUUAGAUUCCGGUUAAUGGGCACUUAACACGUUGCUGAACCGCUCUUGAGCUCAAUGCCCGUGUAUAAAAACUGAAAGCCAUGCAGUGAUUCCUGCAGAGCAAUAUUGUAUGUGUCAAGGGAGAUAAAACCAGAGCCCCUGACACCAGAAUCUACCCAGUAUUUAGAUGUUAGCAGGC